rnacentral:rRNA from 1 species
AUGCCUCCGCCGGUAGCCGCCGCGCUGUCGUUGCUCCUGGCCGUGGCCUUCGGCGCGGCGCGCGGCGCCGAGGACCUGGCGUCCGACACCGCGGCGCUGCAGGCCUUCAUCGCGCCGUUCGGGUCGGCGUCCGUGUCCUGGAACGCGUCCCGGCAGACGUGCUCUUGGACCGGCGUCGUCUGCUCCGGCGGCCGAGUCACGGGGCUCCACCUGCCCGGGGACGGCCUCCGCGGCUCCGUCCCCGUCGGCGCGCUCGGCGGCCUCACCAGGCUCACCGUGCUGUCUCUGCGCUUCAACGCGCUCUCCGGCCCGCUGCCGGCCGACCUGGCCUCCUGCGUCAAGCUGCGGGUCAUCAACCUGCAGUCCAACCACUUCUCCGGUGAGCUCCCGGCCGCGAUUCUCUCCCUCCCGGCGUUGACGCAGCUAAAUCUCGCUGAAAACCGGCUCUCCGGGAGAAUACCGCCCGCCAUUGCCAAGAGCGGGAAGCUGCAGCUGCUCUUCUUGGAGGGCAACCUCUUCACCAAAGAGCUGCCGAACGUCGACAUGCCAUCCCUCUUGUCUUUUAACGUCUCCUUCAACGACCUCACCGGCGAGGUUCCGAAAGGCUUCGGCGGCAUGCCCGCCACAUCUUUCCUCGGCACGACACUGUGUGGCAAGCCCCUCCCACCGUGUCGAACACCAUCUACCCAACCACCGUCCCAGCCUCCCACGGUUGCCCCCGAAGCCGUGGUCGCGGGAAACGGCCGUGGCCGGCGACACCUCGCCGGCGGUGCCAUCGCGGGCAUUGUGAUCGGCUGCGCUUUGGGCUUCCUGCUUAUCGCCGCUGUUCUGGUCAUUGCCUGUGGCGCCCUGCGCCGCAAGCCAAAAAGAACCUACCGCAGCCAGGACGCCGUCGCGGCGGAGCUGGCCCUGCACAGCAAAGAGGCAAUGAGCCCGAAUAGCUACACUCCUCGGGUCUCCGACGCGCGGCCGCCUCCGCCCGCUUCAAUGCCGCCUCCGGUCGCCCCCGUCUCCGUGGGGCGGAAGAAGCUUUUCUUCUUCGGGAGGGUGCCGAGGCCGUACGAUCUGGAGGACCUGCUCCGCGCGUCCGCCGAGGUUCUUGGCAAGGGCACGUACGGUACCACGUACAAGGCCGCGCUGGAGACGGCGCCCGCGGUGGCGGUGAAGCGUCUCAAGGAGACGUCGCUGCCGGAGCGCGAGUUCCGGGACAAGAUCGCGGCGAUCGGUGGGCUGGACCAUCCUAACGUCGUGCCCCUGCAGGCCUACUACUUCAGCAAGGACGAGCGGCUCAUGGUGUACGAGUUCGUCGCCACGGGGAGCCUCUCCUCGAUGCUUCACGGCAACCGUGGCGCCGGGCGAUCGCCGCUGAGCUGGGAGUCGAGGAGGCGGAUCGCGCUGGCCUCGGCGCGCGGCCUGGAGUACAUCCACGCGACGGGCUCCAAGGUGGCGCACGGCAACAUCAAGUCGUCCAACAUACUCCUCGGCCGGUCGGUGGACGCGCGUGUGGCCGACCACGGCCUGGCGAGCCUCGUCGGCCCCGCCGGCGCGCCGUCGAUGCGCGUGGCGGGCUACCGCGCCCCCGAGGUGGUCGCCGACCCGCGGCGGCUCUCGCAGAAGGCCGACGUGUACAGCUUCGGGGUGCUACUCCUGGAGAUGCUGACGGGGAAGGCGCCGACGAACGCCGUGCUGCACGACGAGGGCGUGGACCUCCCGCGGUGGGCGCGGUCCGUUGUGCGCGAGGAGUGGACGUCCGAGGUGUUCGACACGGAGCUGCUGAGGCACCCGGGCGCGGAGGAGGAGAUGGUGGAGAUGCUGCGGCUGGCCAUGGACUGCACCGUGCCGGUGCCCGACCAGCGACCGGCGAUGCCGGAGAUCGUCGUCCGCAUCCAGGAGCUCGCCGACCCGGGGUCGGCGUCGUCGAUGCCACGGCCUGGUCGGAGCAUCUCGGUCGAUGAGGCCGACGAUCGGCCGCUCAAGCCGGCCGGGUCGAUCCGAGAGAGCUGA